rnacentral:lncRNA from 1 species
UGGUUGUGUGAUGAUAUGGUAUGAUGCUUCAGUUCUGAAUUUCAGUGUGAUGUGAGACUUCUCAACAUACACUUGGGAUAGUGCAGAGUUAUAUAUUUUGGUUUGAUAGAGAUUUCACAAUGGGAAACAGAUGUUCCUCUAAAGGUCUUCCCAUUGACUUCCAGAAAAAGGCCUCAGAAGGUGAGGAGGCAAAGUCACCUAAGGUGGCACCAAGGAAGAAAAGAACUUGUCUGGUGUGGAGACUAAAUUUUAAGAAAAAAUUGCUGCGACACAAUGCUGUCGUUUCAGUAGAACAGCAAAAUGAAGAACUCUGAAGCACUUUUUUGAAGGUCAAGCCUGAAGCCCUUAGUAUGUAAUAAGUGGUACUAAGAGCCGAGAGUUAAUUGUGUUCUCUUGGUGUUGCCUGAAAACCAGAUGAAGACCUUACAAGAAGGCAAAGUCAUCACUCACUAAGGCAUUCUGCCUUGGGGAACAAAUGUCCAGUUGGGAAAAUGAAGAUCCUGUAUGUAUUCUGUAAUGACUCUUAGAAUAUAUUUUAUAUAAGAAUUG